UGGGGGAUUUUGCACAAUGGGCGCAAGCCUGAUGCAGCGACGCCGCGUGAGGGAUGAAGGCCUUCGGGUUGUAAACCUCUUUCGCUGGGUUGAAAGGCCAUGCUUUGGGUGUGGUUGAUUUGAACUGGUAAAGAAGUACCGGCUAACUACGUGCCAGCAGCCGCGGUAAUACGUAGGGUACUAGCGUUGUCCGGAUUUAUUGGGCGUAAAGGGCUUGUAGGUGGUUUGUCGCGUCUGUCGUGAAAUCCUGUGGCUUAACCAUGGGCUUGCGGUGGGUACGGGCAGGCUUGAGUGCGGUAGGGGAGACUGGAAUUCCUGGUGUAGCGGUGGAAUGCGCAGAUAUUAGGAGGAACACCGGUGGCGAAGGCGGGUCUCUGGGCCGUUACUGACACUGAGGAGCGAAAGCGUGGGGAGCGAACAGG
rnacentral:rRNA from 1 species